rnacentral:tRNA from 1 species
GGCGCUUUGGCGGAGUGGUUAACGCGAUGCCCUGCUAUGGUUUUCAACCAAGUGGAUCAGGCAUUUCCUUCGGGAGCGAGUGUUCGAAUCACUCAGGCGUCG